rnacentral:rRNA from 1 species
AUUGAACGCUGGCGGCAUGCCUUACACAUGCAAGUCGAACGGCAGCACGGGAGCUUGCUCCUGGUGGCGAGUGGCGAACGGGUGAGUAAUACAUCGGAACGUACCCUGAAGUGGGGGAUAACGUAGCGAAAGUUACGCUAAUACCGCAUAUUCUGUGAGCAGGAAAGAGGGGGAUCGCAAGACCUCUUGCUUUAGGAGCGGCCGAUGUCGGAUUAGCUAGUUGGUGAGGUAAAGGCUCACCAAGGCGACGAUCCGUAGCGGGUCUGAGAGGAUGAUCCGCCACACUGGGACUGAGACACGGCCCAGACUCCUACGGGAGGCAGCAGUGGGGAAUUUUGGACAAUGGGCGCAAGCCUGAUCCAGCCAUGCCGCGUGAGUGAAGAAGGCCUCGGGUUGUUAAAGGCUCUUUCGGUGGGGUAAGAAAUUGCACAGGAUAAUACUCUGCGUGGAUGACGGUACCGGAAGAAG